CAGGGGCCUCAGAACCCCAGCAGGCAGCCUGUCUCCUUGUUGUGUAGCUUGCUAGAUGGACUAAAUGUAUAUCCUCCUUGGCCACACCGCCAUAUUGCCAAGCUCUGUCACCUAUCUUUCAUCAGCUUUUGGAAAUAUGUUACAGUGAUUUCUGUAGGGACAGGAAGUCAUCCUGUGACCAGUUCUGACCAGUGGGACAUGGGUGGCAGCUCCUGGGAAGAGCUUUCGCAAGCACAUGGACUCUGCUCUCUGCCCCUUCUCCUUUCUUCCUGCUUUGAACACAAGCAAAACACCCCUGUGGAGAUGCAGUAACCGUGCUUGAAGGCUGGUAACACAGGAAGCCAGAUGGACUGGACAAUCAGCAGAGAAAUCACUUGUGUGCU
rnacentral:lncRNA from 1 species